rnacentral:lncRNA from 1 species
UCUAAUAAAACCAAUGGGAAUUAGUGCUGUAUAAAUCACACAACUUUUGUCCCACUGUUGUUUGCUGGUGAGAUAAUAACUCCCUGCUCUGUGGAGGUCCUGCAUUAAAGCCUAUGAGUCAAAUAACAAACAGCUCAGUGGGACCACUAAUGAAAAUAACAGCUUGAAGUUAAUCAGUUCAGAUGCACGUGCUCCCUGUUUACUUCCUGAAGGUGGAAGGAGUAAUUACACAUUCAUUGUAUUAUGUUCUUGUGUUUUGUGCAAGGCUGGGAAGUAAAAUUACCAAGUGUUCUAGUUAAUUUGGCUUUGCUUUUUGCUUGCGCAGGUAAAGGUAGUCUCCACUAAAUGAUCUGCUUAUGCAAGUACUUCUGUGGUUCACUAAUGAUAAAAAUAUGGAAUUGCUCAUAUAAAUUGUUUCCGGUAUGUAAGGGUCCUGUGCACUUUCACUGGCAUCUGCUAUAAAACCUUGCUUUGGAAACAAUGAGCUGAGGAGGAAGUAGCUAGAAAGUAACUACUGAACUUAUCAGGUGCUUAACUGUGUCCAUUUGUCUUUUUCCCAUGUACCUGUAUGCAUAACUGUAUGUAAGGUAAUUAAUUGUAGUUCUGUAUUGACUUUAGUUUUGGUGGAAUGCAAGCCAUUAGUUAGCCUUGUUUAAAUACUUAAGUUCUGAAAUACACCUUUUUACAGACCACUUGUGUAAAUUCCUACAUCAGAAUGAGUUCAAAAUUAUUUUAUCUGUUUUGAGUUUUUUUCUCACAUAGCCAUGUCCUAUUCUGGUUUGUAUAUUUCUCCUUUUUUGAGAAAUAACUGUCAAUAUGUUGCUAGUCAGCACCAGAAUAUAAAUUGUUUAUUUCUAUUGCAGUGGAAUUGCUGGAUGAACCAGAUUCACAGAAGUGUACAGCAGUGCUGUCCGAGUGCACUUCAGCUGUGGAGGAGAACAAAGGAGCAGACACAGGAACAGCAGAGGGUGGCCUGGGGAGUUCUCCAUGUGUUUCCCUAGAGAGGCAGCUCAGAGCCUUGAAUAGCUUAAACAUGAACUCCCUCCCA